GGCUAAAGUCGGUGAGGGGAGCAGGGCUGCGUGAGCAGAGGGAAGGGAGUGGGAGGGUCUACGGGGGGUGGUGGUGGCGGUCUAGAGGGUAGUUGGUGGUGGCGGCGAUACUUAGGUCCGAGAGCCGGCGGCCGCUGCGUGGGGAGUGAUCACUUAUCGAGGAAGGAGCUGUGGAGUAGGGAGUCGGGGACAUGAAUCCUAAAGUGCUACGAAGAAGGGAGUAAGCUACAGCACGGCGAAGGCCACUGGUGUCACGGCAGUAGCUCUAGAGUUGAGGACGUGGUGCGGAGGGAGGUCAGUGACUGGUCUAAGCCUGUCGUCUAGCUCAACAACUUCUGAGGACACGGUUGGGUACCAGACAGUCGAGGCGUAGGAGGAGAGAGGUACCAGAAACAAGACAGUACGGAGUAUGGUUUGACGAACCCUUAGCAUAGUACAUAACAACACCACUAUCUGACCACUAAUCAUCUAUGGGAGCC
rnacentral:rRNA from 1 species